rnacentral:rRNA from 1 species
GACGAACGCUGGCGGCGUGCUUAACACAUGCAAGUCGAACGGUGAAGCCCAGCUUGCUGGGUGGAUCAGUGGCGAACGGGUGAGUAACACGUGAGUAACCUGCCCCUGUCUCUGGGAUAACCACGGGAAACGGUGGCUAAUACCGGAUAUGAGAUUCUUCCGCAUGGGGGGGUCUGGAAAGAUUUAUCGGACAGGGAUGGACUCGCGGCCUAUCAGCUUGUUGGUGAGGUAGUGGCUCACCAAGGCGACGACGGGUAGCCGGCCUGAGAGGGCGACCGGCCACACUGGGACUGAGACACGGCCCAGACUCCUACGGGAGGCAGCAGUGGGGAAUAUUGCACAAUGGGCGCAAGCCUGAUGCAGCGACGCCGCGUGAGGGAUGAAGGCCUUCGGGUUGUAAACCUCUUUCAGCAGGGAAGAAGCGCAAGUGACGGUACCUGCAGAAGAAGCGCCGGCUAACUACGUGCCAGCAGCCGCAGUAAAAC